GGAAAAGGAAGCUGUGGGUGGAGACACAUCUGACGGGAGGGAUUUGGAUCCUGCCAGCUCGUCCCUGCAACCCCCUACUCCGGUCCCCUCAAACCUGUCCGUGGCUGGCAGCCCUGUGAUACCUCGCCACAUUCUGCAACAGAAUCCGAGAUAGAGGUAGAAGUGGGGGAGUACGUCGUGGCUGUCAGGGCAGCUUUCUGUAAAAUGCUGCCUGGAGGAGCAUGUGAUUCCAGACCCUCCUCUCUGCAACGAAAGUGAGGUUGACACCUGCAGGCCUGGGGCCUCCUGGCCCACUGAGCAGAACACACAGAAGCUGGGCCCACCCCUGCCCUCCCCACAAAGGGUCACGGGAGCCACCGCCUGACUUUGAAGCCCACUGACUUGCGGCUGACAAGAGAAAAGAAUGUGCCCCUGUGAUCAUGUGAAAGCAUCAGCCAGGGGUCCAAGAACUUCCCUCUGGAGCCUCACACUCCCAGCGUGGCACCCAGCAGGGAACAGAUUCUCUCCAAACCUUUGUGAAUGAAUGAAGGAUGACGUCACUAGAAUCCAUCCCUGUUUUAUUUUUUAUUUUUAUUUUUUGAGACAGAGUCUCGCUCUGUUGUUGCCCAGGCUGGAGUGCGGUGGCACAAUCUCAGCUCACUACAACCUCCGCCUCCCCGGUUCAAGUGAUUCUCCUGCCUCAACCUCCUGAGUAGCUGGGAUUACAGGCACCCAUCACCACGCCUGGCUAAUUUUUGUGUGUGUUUAGUACAGACGGGGUUUCACCACGUUGGCCAGACUGGUCUUGAACUCCUGACCUCAGGUGAUCCGCCUGCCUCGGCCUCCCAAAGUGUUGGGAUUACAGGCGUGAGCCACCACGCCCAUGCCCAUCCCCAUUUUAUAGACAAGGAUACCAAGGCUCAGAGAGGGGAAGCCACUUGCCAAGGACGCACAGGAGGACACCAGUGAGCAGGACCUCUGGUCUGUCUGGGAGGCCACUGGGCCUCUUCCCAGAGUCUCUGCUUGGUGAGCCAGGAUUUUACACCCGCCUUGGGCCCAGUGGGCUGAGAGGACAUGGGCUGGGGUGUCGGAAGCUGCAGAGCUGAUCCCUCCUGCUUGGCUGGAGGCUUGCAGACCCGGCAGGCAGGCUCGGGAGGCAGCGGGCGACUUGAAAAUGCACUCCCUACCACAGGCUCAAGAGUGACGGCGCCUGUCAGGGACCGGGAGGCAGGGCCUGUCUUUUCCUGCUGUUUUAUUGCCUUCAAAGUCUGGACCAAGUGGUUUCUGGAUGGAGUCACGGUAACCUCACGUCUAUUCAAGCAAUUCGUUCAUUGUUUCAUUUAGUAAAAUACCCACAAAACAAGGAAGAACACCUUGGCGGUGCCUCUGAUCCCCCCAUUUGUCUGCAAAUCGGAAAAGCAUGAUUCCAUCGAUCUCCUGUUUAUUGAGCGCCUACUACAUGCUAGGUCGGAUGGUCUAGUUCAACCCCUCGCAACGCCACAGCUGCUGUCUGUUUCGUAUCUUGUAUUUUUCGCUUGACAGUUUAUCAUGUGCAUUUUCUCGGGUACCAAAGGCCCUUGUAAGAGAUGGUGUCUGGAGAAUGGGUAUCUCAGGGGCCUACCACCUGGCUUACCUCCUCCCAAAUCAGGGUUCCUCUGCACCACCUCCUCUCUGUCCAGCUCCUCCUUCAGGGCCUGGCUCAAUUCUACCUCCUCCACAAAGCCCUCCAUUCCCUCCCCUCCUGGUCAGUGUUGUCUCUUUUGCAGCCACUAGCUCUCUGCCUUGCCUCACCCGGGUCUCCUAUCCCUCUCCUUCUCUCUCAUGGAGUGAUGCCUUUUUUCUUCCUCUACACACAUCAGGUCUGAGCUCAAAGUCACCUUGUCAAAGGCCCUCCCAGGACCACCCUGUGUGAUUAUCCUGUGGGCUUGUUCCUGUGUUUGUCCCUGAGCCCACAGGGUCUGGUGGUUCAGUAGAAGGACUCCUGCAGAAGGUGCUGGAUAAACACUGGAAGAUCUAGAAAUAAAAAUAAAAGAAAGACUGGGCGCGGUGGCUCAGGCCUGUAAUCCCAACACUUUGGGAGGCCGAGGUGGGCGGAUCCCCUGAGGUCAGGAGUUCGAGACUAACCUGGCCAACAUGGCGAAACCCCAUCUCUACUAAAAAUACAAAAAUUAGCCAGGCAUGGUGGCAUGUGCCUGUAAUCCCAGCUACUCAGGAGGCUGAGGCAGGAGAAUCGCUUGAACCCGGGAGGCAGAGGUUGUAGUGAGCUGAGAUCGCGCCACCGCACUCUAGCCUGGGCGAAAGAGUGAGACUGUAUCCCAAAAAUAAUAAAAUAAAAUAAAAUAAAAUAAAAUAAAAUAAAAUAAAAUAAAAUAAAAUAAAAUAAAGCACACUCAGUUAAAUAUGAAUGUCAGAUAAGUACCAAAUAACUUGUGAGUAUAAAUGUAUCCCAAAUAUGGAAUGGAAUACACAUAGUAAACAUUUUUUUUUAUUAUCUCAAAUUCAAAUGACACUCAGCAUCUUGAAUUUAAUCUGACAACUCCACCUCCUCCUACCCUCUUUGCCCCUUGUCAGGCAAGCUCAAUAGCUAGGCCGAGAGCUGCUGAGGGCGGGGACCUUGUCUGUCUAGGCCACUGCUGUAUGCGUGCCUGGCCCUCAGCAGGGAACCUGACAUGAAGCACACGCUGGAUAAAUAAAUACCUGUUGCUGGAGCGAGUGAUGGGUUCCCAGCCCUCACUGGGGAAUCGAGGGGACUCCACCUCAGCCCAGCCAGAUGGAAUCGUCGGGAACAGAGUGCACCUUAAUUUCUGCGAAGACCAAUGCAAAUUAGAAGAAGACUGAGAUGCAGGCUGUUUGAUCCAAGAGAUGCUUUUUAAUUAUUGUAAAACAGCUGUGACUUACUGAGCACCAACUGUGUACCCGGCCUCACACUGUUCUCAUACACAACAGCUCCACGGGGAAGGCAUUCUCACCGAGAUUCAGAGAGGGGCAGACCUGGCCUCGGGUCGCACAGCUGGGAACCGGACACCGGGCUCUCUCCAGUCAGCUCGGGUGCUGCUGGCCCCAGCACCUCCCCCAUGGCGUGGACCAGGGCCUCCGAGGCUGCUUUAAAGAAGGUUCUUUGAGAACGGCGCAUGUACCGUGUGGACACUCGUGUGCGCCCCUGAAGUUUUUGAGCCAGCCACCCUGUCAUCAAUCUUGGUUAUGCAGUUCAUUUAUUCAGUAGACCCCAGGUUCCCAUCCACGUUUGGUGCACAGGAGAACUCCCCUGCUCAGGAAUUCUGAAUUAAGGAGGCUUUGAAUGAACGAGGCUCUACUGAAUUUAAAUUCCAGAUGGGGCAGGGAGGGGCUGGGUACUGGUGAGCGGCACAGACUGGGCAGGUAGAUGCGGCAGGAGUUCGAAUCCAGCCCCUACCGUUUCUCAGAUCUGUGACUUUGGAAAAAUCACUUUCUCUGGCCCUCAAUUUUGCCAUCUCUAAAGAGGGGGCUGAAUGAAUUCAGACACCCCAAGGCCCCACAAAGUGCUAACGACUGAGAUACGCUGGGGUUGGAGGUGAUUGGGAA
rnacentral:lncRNA from 1 species